rnacentral:lncRNA from 1 species
UAGGUGGACAUGUUUAUCAUUUUCCCACGUGUUAAAAAUGUUCGUAAAUGCUAAUAUCCAACACCCAAACAAGACCCAACUCACUACACACACAUGCUUAUCAUUUCCCUCAACUUCAUCUUCAUACAUCAUCAACAACUAGAGCAGCUAAAUCUGGUAAUUCAUCACAAAUGGAGGAAUUGCAGAGCUAGUUUCAUGCAACAUCAACACCGGAAAUUUUACUUCACUUCAAGUUAUGGAGUUAAGAGCCGCCAAAAGGUUGCCCAAAGUUUUUUGUUCGUAUGAUGAGAGCCUGAUUACACUCAAACUCAAUACAGCACCUGAAAGAGAGGAACAAACAUGAAGGAAUGCAAAGACAGAAACGAAUAAGCUGGUAAAGUAGUAUUUCUGUUCCAUGUACAUGAAUUCCAUUUAAUUUUCUGCAUAAAUAUAAUCGUUCUAUUUUUUAUAUACAUAAAUGCCACUAGCGUUUAAGUAUUUUUUUAAGUGAAUGCAGAUUUUUAAUUUUUAAUUUGUAUGCUUAAAACACUUUUAGAAAUUAAGUGUAAGUAAAUGAUGCAGCUUAACAUUGCGCAUGUCCUAUUUUUAUUUUAUUUUGGAAUUGUGUUUAGUAUGAUGAUGUUUGAUAUUAGUGGUGUUUUCCAGUAACUAAAGAUUAUGUUAUGUUUUAAAGGUGGGCUUUAUUUGUUUCAUUUUAGGUAGUACUAUAUAAUCAUCUGUGAACCCUGGCCCUUGUUGAGCACUUGAGCGUGACCCCUUCGACCCCUUCAACCCCUUCGCAGUAGUAGUCAGUUAAAUUCCAAACAUUCAAUUAUUUGAAGCAUAAAUAACAAUAUUGUACAAGUCUUCCUGCUAAUGCUUUUAGUUGAUUAACAUUUUACGAUAAAUAAUUACAAACUUAAGGCUCACUAACCAAACUUGUUUACAUUGUGAACCUUUUUAACUAGAGUAGAAGUAUUCCUGCUAGAGCUUUUAGUUAAUUACGAUACAACUUCUUUUUCCUUCUCCAUGGGAGAACCAAAUGCACUCCUAUCUCCCUAAUCAAGGUUGAAUUCAUGUUACAUUUACAUCUUGAGGAUAAUGGUGAGCCCUGACAGAGGAGAGCACACUGUUGUAAUUCUGGUGCACUGAAAUCCAUCGGAGUGAGGUUUUAGUCACUGAAAGAUAUUGCUGUCAGAAUUUUGUUUUGAAUGGAAAUGCUAUUUGUGUUGCACAGAAUGUUUUAAAGUAUGUUUUUGGUGAGAUGUAAAAGAGAAUUGGUUGAUAAAAUGGUGUACUUUGUUCCUGUGACAAGCUUGGGUACAGAAGACAAUCAUGCUGCAGUUGAUGUGGAGAUUCUGAUGAUUAGAAAGUUGAGGUGGGAUAUUAUCGUGACUCUGUGUUUUCCAAAGGGAGUCAGCUUUUAGUCACUGAAAGAUAUGGCUAACAGACUUUUGUUUUGAAUGGAAAUGUUGUUUGGGUUGCGCGGACCCUUCCAGAGUACUUUUUGGGGAGAUGUAAAAAGAAUUGGUUGAUAAAUCGGUUGAACUGUUUUUGAACUUUGUUCUAGCUUGUCUGAGAAAGACAAUCAUGCUGCAGUUGAUGUGAAGAUUUUGAUAAUUAUAAAGUCGAGGUGGGUUAUAAUCGAUAUUCUGUGUUGCUAAAGGGGAAUCUGACAAGGUUUUGGUUGCUUGUGACUAAAGGUGUGGACUGUGCCAUGUUAUCCAAGAAGACCUCACAAAACAUGGCUUCAUAGCCAAGUUGAACCAACAUAGUUAAUAUCUUGUGGAGAUGUCCUGAUUGCAAUACUGCUAUGGUGUUCCAGACAAACCCAAUGGGCAAUGGUAAAGACUCAUCCUUGAAACACUAGUGAUGUUCGGAGAAAAACCAUAGUAUGUAUUUCCAAAACAAUCCAUUAAACCAAAGAUCAUAAGUAAUAUUCCUUGUAUUUGGAGAGGAGGUUCUCAAAGACGUUUAUCUCGCAGAAAUUAGUCUGAUUGAAAAGAGAAUGUACAACUCAAUUUCUUUUUUAACGGAAAUAAAUCCUAGGCAGUGAAGAGUUUAAGAAGUGGAAAAAUGGUUUUUCCUACUGGUGCAUGUGGAUGCCUGAGGUUAUUAUGGGUGGGAAGUGCGUGUGCUGAGGUUUUGAGAUAAUUUAUGCCCACGUCAAUGAUCAUUAUCCUGAUAUUAAUUCCAUAGCUAGCGGAAAAAAAAAAAACAGAACCAUUGGUGGUGCGUGUGAUCAAAGUAAAGAAGUUAAGCUUAAGGAGAUGGAGGAUAUUUGAAUGCUGUUGUCCAAGGUUUUGUUGUUGUGAUUAGUUGGUAUUCUCUUACAAAAAUAACCGACUCGAUAUGAGGGAACCUACGUUUUAUUUUAUGUAGAAUGUAUAUAAAUUCAACAUUCCAUCCAUUUGAGGUUUUUUCGUAAAAAGACAAUCCUCCUUGUAGAUGAGUGAUCUUUGCUGUUGUUCUAGGUGUCUAGCUUCGUGUCUGACUUGCUCACAUUUUGUUGUAAAAGUGUAAUAUUUCACUGUGGGAUCAUUGGUUGGGGAGGUAAGUACCUUCAACAAGACUAACAGAAUGAAUUUAACACAGAGGGAGGUUUUUGGAAUGUACUUUGAGGGGUCAGAUAUCUACCUGACACAUUAGGGAGGCGAGCACCAUGAACGAGACUAAAAGAAUGAACAUAAGAUAUUAGGGUGGUUGUUUGGAUUUACUUCGAGGGGUCAGAUAUCGACCUGACACAUAUCAUGUAUUUUCUUUCUGUUUUGAACUCUUUUGAGUAGGACAGGUUUUUACCAUACAAGUAGAGAUGUUCAUAAUGGCAAUGAAUCAUGAAAUGAUUUUAUUUAGUUAUAUAAGUAAUAGAUGUUGUGGAAAAAAGUAUGUGAAAAGAGAGUUAAAUCAGAAGAAAUAAACUUGGUCUGGCCGGAUUGCUCAAAUUCCAAAAGACCCGCAUUAUUGUUCAGGGAAUGUGUAUUGGUAUUUGUUGGAUAAAAUUAUACACUUUGGUUUUUAUAUAGAAAAAUCAUGAAAGCUAUACAAAUUGUGAGCAUUAGAUAAAAUCAAUGUUUAAAAAUUAUAAGAAUUCGGACAUUCGGUUUACCAAAUGCACCAUUUCAUAGCCUUUUCUAACUGGUCAUAAAUUUUAUUUAUUUGUAUGUACUAAACUUUUUAUACCUUUUAUUUGAUCUACAUGUAUCUUUUGGACAAGGCAUAUUAGCUCAAAGUAAUGUGAAUGAAAUGCUUAUAUGUUCUGGACUUCUGGUUAUAACUUGCUAGCAAUUUCGUAAGAGACAAUUCCGUCCAAACUCUAAUUUAGAAGAAUUUCAACUGAAAAUGGGUAAACACAAGGACAUGUCUAAUUGUCUAUAAACCCUCUUCAGUGUCCCUUUGGGGUAUGGAGUGUGUCAGUAGUUCAUUAACAACCUUCUGGCUUGUCCUGUAACUUUUUUCAUAACAAUAUAUCUUGAUUGUUUAAACUCCCCCACUUCCCACAACACACACACACACACACACACAAAAGAUUCCUCGAAUGUCAGGUAUCACCAAGCACAAUGGAUGCUUUACUUAACCAUAGAGAGCUUUUCAAAUUAUGAACUGGUUAGCUUCAUAGAUAACCACUUGCUCAGUUAGACUAAGAUACCAUCUGACUCCAAGCACCUAACCAAAGACAGUAUAUUCAUCUAAAUGAUUUGUGAAGAUAAUUGUUGUGAAGUUGUUUUACUUCCAAAAAGACUUGCUGUACAUUUCUUUUUUGUUUUUGCAAGGCUAAGAAUGAGUUUGUUUUGUCAACAUAAAGAACUAUCUGCCAAUAAAUAUUGUUGUUAACUUUAAGCUUAUCUUUUUGUUUCAGGUGCAGAUGAAGUCGUCAGCGGAAUCAAGAAAGGCGUUAAUCCCGAAUUUGUGGCAAAUAUGAAAUAUUAAAUAUUGGAGAUUUGUAAAGUGUGUACUUCAGUUAAAGUGUCCCGAUUAUGGAAGAACGGCAGCAGGUCAGUAGGUGGUGAGAAUACUUUUAUGUGACCAGAUUACUUUGUUUUAUCCAUAGUACAAAAUAUCGUGAUAUAUCCCGAUAUAUCGCGAUAUAUGUCGGUUUUUAAAAAAAACGAUACGAUACAUUCCCGAUAUUUACUCCUUGAUGUUUCUGUAAAAUAUCGACCGAUUUUUUCGAUAUUUUCCGAUAUUUUCGAUAUUUAC